rnacentral:rRNA from 1 species
CGGCUCAGUAACACGUGGACAACCUACCCUCAGGACAGGUAUAAACCCGGGAAACUGGGUAUAAUCCCUGAUAGUCCUCGACUGCUGGAAUGCAUCGAGGCCGAAAGCUCCGGCGCCUGAGGAUGGGUCUGCGGCCUAUCAGGUAGUAGUGGGUCUAAAGUACCUACUAGCCUACGACGGGUACGGGUUGUGAGAGCAAGAGCCCGGAGAUGGAUUCUGAGACACGAAUCCAGGCCCUACGGGGUGCAGCAGGCGCGAAAACUUUACAAUGCCGGCAACGGCGAUAAGGGGACCUCGAGUGCCAGGUUACAAAUCUGGCUGUCGUGAUGCCUAAAAAGCAUUGCAUAGCAAGGGCCGGGCAAGACCGGUGCCAGCCGCCGCGGUAACACCGGCGGCUCGAGUGGUAACCGUUAUUAUUGGGUCUAAAGGGUCUGUAGCCGGCCGGAUAAGUCUCUUGGUAAAUCCAGCAGCUCAACUGUUGGGCUUCCAGGAGAUACUGUCUGGCUCGAGGCCGGGAGAGGUGAGAGGUACUUCAGGGGUAGGGGUGAAAUCUUGUAAUC